rnacentral:rRNA from 1 species
CCAUACAAGAGACCCAAGUCAAUAGCCUAUUCGGCGUAAAGAGUGGUCACAUGUUAUCUGCAUCAACUAAGAUCGAAAUGCAACUAAGCUGUCAUAAGCCCAAGAUACACCUAAGUCCAACCUGAACACCAUCUUAGCUACCAUGACCAAUUUAAACCCACGAAAGCCAGGGCACAAACUGGGAUUAGAUACCCCACUAUGCCAGGCCCUAAAUCUAGAUACCCAAACAUCUACUUACGUAUCCGCCCGAGAACUACGAGCACAAACGCUUAAAACUCUAAGGACUUGGCGGUGCCCCAAACCCACCUAGAGGAGCCUGUUCUAUAAUCGAUAAUCCACGAUUCACCCAACCAUCCCUCGCAACGCAGCCUACAUACCGCCGUCACCAGCCCACCUCCAGUGAAAGAACAACAGUGAGCUCAAUAGUCCACGCUAACAAGACAGGUCAAGGUAUAGCCCAUGGGAUGGAAGCAAUGGGCUACAUUUUCUAAAAUAGAACAAACGAAAAAGGGCAUGAAACCGGGCCCUUAGAAGGAGGAUUUAGCAGUAAAGCGGGAUCAUCCUGGGCCCGCUUUAAGAUGGCCCUGAGGCACGUACAUACCGCCCGUCACCCUCUUCAAGAGCCACCAACCCCAAUAAAUAAUUUACCCGCUCCAGGAUAAAGAGGAGGCAAGUNGUAACAA